rnacentral:rRNA from 1 species
GACGAACGCUGGCGGCGUGCUUAACACAUGCAAGUCGAACGGUGAAGCGCCUUCCUUUUUGGUGGGUGUGGAUGAGUGGCGAACGGGUGAGUAACACGUGAGUAACCUGCCCCCUUCUUCUGGAUAACCGCAUGAAAGUGUGGCUAAUACGGGAUAUUCUGGGUCUGUCGCAUGAUGGGUCUGGGAAAGAUAUUGUUUCGGUGGGGGAUGGGCUCGCGGCCUAUCAGCUUGUUGGUGGGGUGAUGGCCUACCAAGGCGGUGACGGGUAGCCGGCCUGAGAGGGUGGACGGUCACACUGGGACUGAGACACGGCCCAGACUCCUACGGGAGGCAGCAGUGGGGAAUAUUGCACAAUGGUCGCAAGCCUGAUGCAGCGACGCCGCGGGAGGGAUGGAGGCCUUCGGGUUGUGAACCUCUUUCGCCAGUGAAGCAGGCCUGCCUCGUUUGUGGGUGGGUUGACGGUAGCUGGAUAAGAAGCGCCGGCUAACUACGUG